GAGAGGUGGCACCAAUUUUUGGGCAGGUAUUUGAGGCAAGCUGAAAACUUGUCACAUACCUCUCCUAUUAUAUUCCAACACGGAAUUGCAGACCUGGCUGUUCUUUGACACCUAAUAGAAACGGAUGGACACUUAAUGAGGAUACGCUAGAUUUUCACUGGUUUGACUGAGAGUGUAUGCCGCAAUUAGUAUUCGACGCUGUUGUUCACGAGGAAAAUAAAAAUAACGAUGAUGAAAAUCAUACUACAGAUGAUGAAGAGGUUGCCGAAUCUGAUACAGAUGAAUCCGAAGAUUCAAGUAGUUCUGAUGAAGAUUCUGAUCCACAGACGAAAAAUGAUAAUUUAUAUCUGACGUGAAACGAAUUUAAUUUAUUUCUAAUUUUUUUAUACAUAAAUAAUUGAAACACUGAAGAAAUA